UCUACCAAAAUGGUUUGUACACCAUCACCCAUUUGUGACGAAGAAAACUAGCAGGGAAUAGGAAACCCAGCACUACGGCUCCAGCUGCUCUCGGUGGUAGGGGUGGUUCGACGAUCCUGAAAGAAAUACCUAUAAAUGCUCCGAAAAUUUAGGCGCCACUAAUUUUUCGAUAGUUCCAAGCCAUACAGGAAAAAAAAUUAGAAACCUGCUCCUGUUGGUCUGGAAUUGCAGGGGUAAAACUAAAAAAAAAGAAAUAGAGAAAGAUAGCGGGAAAGAAAAGGGCGAAUGAUGAUGAUUGAUAAUGGUACGGAAUGAUAACAGGGAAGAAAAACGGCAAAAAAAGAAAACGGUAAAUAGAUAACUUGAACUUAGCUGUUCUGGCUCCUGAAGUUGUCCAGCAGUUGUUCGGCGGACUUGGCGGUGGUAGACCAGUGGCUAAGUACGGGGUAGAUUAAGGAUAGGGAUGCGGGUAGAAAGGAACGAGGAAAAGAAAUUUGAGGGUAUCGAAAGAAGAUUGAAGACUGAAGACGGCGACUGUAGAUUGAAGACGGACGACUGAAGAUUGAAGACGGACGACUGUAGACUGAAGAUGGACGAAGACGAAGAUUUCUUAGUAGUAGAUAGGUACGUAUAACAAGUAUAGACACGAAAUAACUAA